UACAGAGGUCCCAAGCGUUGUUCGGAUUCACUGGGCGUAAAGGGUGCGUAGGUGGUCGGGUAAGUUUAAGGUGAAAGCUCCGGGCUCAACCCGGAAAUGGCCUUGAAUACUAUCCGGCUCGAGGGUUGGAGGGGGGACUGGAAUUCUCGGUGUAGCAGUGAAAUGCGUAGAUAUCGAGAGGAACACCUGCGGCGAAGGCGGGUUGCUGGGCUGACACUGACGCUGAGGCGCGAAAGCUAGGGGAGCGAACGGG
rnacentral:rRNA from 1 species